UACGUAGGGGGCUAGCGUUGUCCGGAAUCAUUGGGCGUAAAGCGCGUGUAGGCGGUCCGGUAAGUCCGCUGUGAAAGUCGGGGGCUCAACCCUCGAAUGCCGGUGGAUACUGUCGGGCUAGAGUGCGGAAGAGGCGAGUGGAAUUCCUGGUGUAGCGGUGAAAUGCGUAGAUAUCAGGAGGAACACCAAUUGCGAAGGCAGCUCGCUGGGACGUUACUGACGCUGAGACGCGAAAGCGUGGGGAGCAAACAGG
rnacentral:rRNA from 1 species